CGGUUGUUACACACCGUAUAGUGUAUAUGACGUCUUGUUACACCCGGUACGGCGACGAGUGCCCGCCUUUUUUUACGACGUGCCUGAACGCAGUAGUCUGGUACAACCAAAGACGUUCGAAACGCAAACAGUUUCCCGCCGUUUAUUCAAAACAAUAAUGCUGAGUAAAAAACUAAAUUGCUGAUUUCAACAUUCUAGGAAUCUAGGAUACUGGAUAAGAAUAACUAUUUAUUUCAAUACAUACACAGUGAAACACCAAAUGUAUUCUUAUUAUAAAAAGUUGGUUGUAGACUUUUGAUUUUCAAAAAUAACAUAAGACUACUUCUAUACGAAAUACAAAUCCUAGGAUUUAAAAUAAACAAUAACAACUACCUAAAUGGCUAAUUAUGAAAUACAGACUUGGGAGGACCAUGGCACCUGCCCCCCCCCCCCAACCCUGGAGCCAUCCCUGUAACGAAGAGUAGUUUUAUGGCCCAACGCCUGUCCACGAAAUAUUGAGAUUAAAUACGAACAAACCGGUAGCGCCAUCUGUCCAGUACAAUUAAAUUAGAAAAAAUAGAAAAAAAUGUGUAAGAUGUUUUCCCUGUCGAUGCGGAUAACGCUGAGUGUUAAGAAAUAAAACAGAAGAAAAAAGAAGCACAAUUAAUUACGAAGUUAAAGAAGAAAGAGAGUUAAUUGACGGUUUGUUAUUUGAAGAAACAGUAUCUAAUGAAAGCCAUUCUUCAGAAUUCAUUACAUCUAAUUGUAGAAAAAAUCCAUAACUGAUAAAACAUCUACAGCAUCUAAUUUAACUGUGCAUAUAAGAGUACAUACCAGUGUAAAUUCUUAUAAAUGUGAUAACUGUGAUAAGGAGUUAACUAAAAAAUCCAAUUUUACCGUGCAUUCAAGGACACGUACCGGUGUAAAGCCAUAUAAAUGCGAUGUCUGUGAUAAAGCCUUCUCUCAAUUAAUCAGUCUAACAAACCAUACAAGAACACAUACCGGUGAAAAGCCUUAUAAAAGUAAUAUCUGUGAUAAGCUGUGUUUACAUCAUCAAAUUUAACAAAUGAUUCAAGGACACAUACCGGAAAAAAGGCUGUAUAAAUGUGAUAUCCGUGAUCAAACUUAUUCUCAGAAAACCAAUUUAACAACGCAUACAAAGAUGCAUGCCGAAUUUUGUUUAUACAUCACUAUUGGGCCCUAUAUUAGAUGCUUUACAUUUAGUUCUACCUAGGUACUUAAUCUGCCUACGUAUUAAAAACAGUGCUUGUAGCGAGUACGCAUGAAUGAAGUGAAACUUCUUUCAGAGUAAUUUAACGGAUAGAAUAUAUUAGGUUUAUAUUGGAAAUAAAUAAAAAAAAUAUUUAUUAACCUAGCUAAAUCAAACAAGGCAAAAUCAAACAAAUUACCAGAUCUUAACACUAAAGUCUUAACGUUUCAUUUAGCUAGGUUAAUACAUAUCAGGAAGUAAAAACGGUUUUAAAAACCGGGUCACUCGAAAAUAAUCGAAACCGUUUUCAGACACGAAAUCCGAAAUACGAAAAAUAUAAAAACCGUUUUAGACACGAAACUAAUUCAACAAAAAUUUAAAAUACCAAGACCAGAACUCACAAAAAAAAAACUGUUGUUUUUAUUCACAAUAUUGCUAUUAAUACAUCUAUAUAUAAAAAUUAAUCUUUGUUUCCCUUGGUCAUCGCAUCACGCAUCAACAGCUACACCGAUUUCGCUAAUUCUUUUUUUGCUGUGUUCAUAAUUAUCAGGAGAAAGUUCUUAUGUAAUACAAUUUUAGAAAAAUCCACCGAAAAAGUAGAAAAUUUGGAUUUCAAAAAAUACAAUAUAGUGGCGCCAUCUGUACAAAAAAAAAUAAACUAUAGUUAAUAAACUAGUGAACCAAAAUUGAUGAUUUGACUAUCAACAUUUUCAGAAAAAAAAGCUUGACCAGAAUCUUUUAAAAAUAUAGUAGUUGCCAUUUGAAAAAAUAUUGUUGAUUUUGCUACACUUUGGUACACCUGCGUGUUUAAAAAUUUUUAAAUUGUUAUGAAAAAAUUGCCUGUUAAAAAUAAAGAAACAGGUCUUUUUUCGUUUUAACGAAAUUCCAUGUCAUCGAUCCAUAAUCGUUAAAAAAACCCUGUGUACAAUGACAUAAGAUACACCCUGUAUAAUAUCUCUAUAUAUAAAAAUGAAUCCCGAUUUCCUUGGUCAUCGCAUCACGCGUGAACGGCUGGACCGAUUUUGCUAAUUUUUUUUGGUUUGUUUGUAAUUGUCAGGAGAAGGUUCUUGUGGAAUAAAAUUUUAGGAAAACCCACCAGAAAAGUAAAAAAAUUGCAUGUCAAAAAAUACAAUAGUGGCGCCAUCUGUUCAAAAAAAAGUAAACUAAAUAAUAAAAAUAUUAGUUGCAGAUUAAAAUAAAAAUAGUGUAUUGUAUAUUGCUUGCUAUUGGUUACGGACAUGUUUGUUGAUUUGUAUUAUUAUUUUUUGUCAAUAUAUAUGAAUAUCUCCUAACUAUAUAAAUAUGAAAUGAAUUCAAAUUUAAUACCAUCCAUUACAGUAACCCAUUUGUAACAUACUGUACAGCAGAGCGACAUCCACUUACUUACCCGCUUUUUUUUAAUUAGAAUUUGUAAUUCCCCUUCAAAUAACAAAAAACACAUUACAAUUUUCAUAACUCGAAAUUUGUAGUAAGUCAAAUUAUUUUUUUUUCCCGUGAGCUUUAAGUUACCGAGAGUACAUUGUAAUAGCAUUUUCUAUACAUGAUAAAAUUUUCAAAAUAUUUUUAUUUGUUUUAACUCGAUUAUUCUCGAUAA